GGUCAGUGAUGUGAUGUAAAAGGUCUGAUGUCCAGGUCUCCUUCCAGUCCUUCCAUCCCUCCCAGCCAGCCCUAUUAAUUUUCCCAGCAUGCUCUAGUUGUGCAUCACUGGUUUGGUGUGGCGGCUGAAAUUAUGGAUGUUUCUGCUGAAUGAGAGUCUUUUUAGAGAAUCACGUGAGACUCUGACAGCAACAUCCCACAGCAACACAACACACAGGAGGGCAGGGCUGGAGGAGGCUGGUCAGCUGAUCUCACAAAUCAUACUGAGACC